CCUGGUAGCGGGGGAGUAACUAUUGGAAACGAUAGCUAAUACCGCAUAAUAUUGAUUAUUGCAUGAUAAUUGAUUGAAAGAUGCUAUUGCAUCACUACCAGAUGGACCUGCGUUGUAUUAGCUAGUAGGUGAGGUAACGGCUCACCUAGGCGACGAUACAUAGCCGACCUGAGAGGGUGAUCGGCCACACUGGGACUGAGACACGGCCCAG
rnacentral:rRNA from 1 species